CCUACGGGAGGCAGCAGUGGGGAAUAUUGGACAAUGGGCGAAAGCCUGAUCCAGCAAUGCCGCGUGAGUGAUGAAGGCCUUAGGGUUGUAAAGCUCUUUUACCCGGGAUGAUAAUGACAGUACCGGGAGAAUAAGCUCCGGCUAACUCCGUGCCAGCAGCCGCGGUAAUACGGAGGGAGCUAGCGUUAUUCGGAAUUACUGGGCGUAAAGCGCACGUAGGCGGCUUUGUAAGUAAGAGGUGAAAGCCUGGUGCUCAACACCAGAACUGCCUUUUAGACUGCAUCGCUUGAAUCCAGGAGAGGUGAGUGGAAUUCCGAGUGUAGAGGUGAAAUUCGUAGAUAUUCGGAAGAACACCAGUGGCGAAGGCGGCUCACUGGACUGGUAUUGACGCUGAGGUGCGAAAGCGUGGGGAGUAAACAGGAUUAGAUACCCUGGUAGUCCACGCCGUAAACGAUGAUAACUAGCUGUCGGGGCUCUUAGAGCUUCGGUGGCGCAGCUACGACAUAAGUUAUCCGCCGUGGGAGGUACGGCCGGCGAACGGUUAAACGUAACGUAAAGGUAAAGUUAGUUACGGACGUGAGACGUGCCGACGGCGACGACGAGGGAGGAGG
rnacentral:rRNA from 1 species